rnacentral:lncRNA from 1 species
AUUGCUCCUGCCAUCACCCAGAUUAAAGACCUGCCCUCUCAUCCGUCAGGGAUUGAGUGGGCAAGCACUGUGGGCUGCAGACACCAAGCUCCACCAUGAUUCCCCCUCCACUCUCAGAGGCUCCAUCCAGCUGGCAGGCUCACAGCACUGCAGCCCAGCAUCUGAAGUGGUACUGUCCCUAGGCUGAUGACUGUCACAUUUUUAGUGGGGCCAAAACUUUCCUCCAAGAUUCAGAUGUGUGUCACCAACUAGAGAGCAGGCUUGGAAUUUAAAAAUAAAGUUUUCAGUAAGUUGAGAUGUUUUGCUUCGCAUAGACAAAUUAUCACUUUGACAGAAAUAUUUUGCUUACUCAAACCUUUGUAUUGCUAGAAAAAGAGAUUUUUAAAAAAUCCCAGUAAAGUCAAGAAGAAAGAAAAAA